ACAAAAAUCCCGCGUGGCAUAAUAUUCAAAAUAAUAUUACGUAAAUUUUAUUUUAGUACUUUCCGACUUACAUUUACCUAUAUAUUUCAACAAAUACGCUGUCGCAUCAUCAUUAUUUUUUUACUAUGAUUCCCGCUUUGUACUUGUUUGCUAAAAUCUUACGUAAUGUGAGCCCGAGAGACACGAACACAAUACCUUCCUUGACAGUGGUCAGGGGCGUACUUCUGGCUUGAGCGAGCAUGCAACCAAGGCGUCGCGUUUGGUUUAUUACGAAAAAAAUUAAUAUAAAAUAAUUCAUAAAGCGUAUUGAUAAAUCCCACAGUGAAAACUUAUAAGUACUAAUAAACUAUCGAAUAAAAUAAGUUUUGUGCUUAUAGCUAUCAUAGUUUUAUGAUAAUAUAAACAAUUAAAAUAAAAAAGACAAUUAAAAAAAAAAAAAUCUAUCGAGAUUUUUUUUCGUAAUCGUGUUUUCGAAACAGCCAUAAUUUAGAUAAAGAAAUGAAGAUAAACAUGUCAAAAAAUUAGAACCGUAGUAUUUGUAGAAGUAUUUUAAGUAGAUUUUUAAAAAUGUUACUUUUUAGGACUAUAGCGCCUUAAUGCCUGAUAGACUGCAUAUAAUUCUGCUAUAAAAAUUUAACAUGAUUGGUGUAGAACAAAAUUUUUACAAAAUUUGGUUUGUGGAUCAUAUAGAGCAGAAUGUACAUAGUCACUCCCUUUAGUUCCAUCAGUAUACAUAACAUAUUCAGAGAUUAAACUGGCAAAACUAUCUGCACAACAACACCCUCUACGAAAUCCGUAUUGAAAUUGUGGGAUGAUAUGAUUGGAUUCAACAUACCAGUCGAGACGAACUUUAAUCAUAUUAAAUAUUUUACCAAGACAAGAAGAUAAGGAUAUUGGUCUGUAAGAACUGGCAAGCUCCGGAGAUUUCUCAGGCUUGAGUAUGGGGAUAACACAUUGAAGUUUUCCAUGACUGUGGAAUAAUUUUCUUGUACCAAAGUAGAUUUAGGAUAUUAAGGAAAACCUUUUGAGCAGAUUCAUCUUAAUUUUUAAUAAUCAUGUAAGGAUAAUCAUCGAGACCUGGAGUUGUGUUUUGUCUAGAUUGUAAACUCUUUGUAAAUUCAUUCCAUGUAAAUGAAUUAAGUAAAAAUUUUGAAUUUUUA